rnacentral:rRNA from 1 species
GACGAAGGAUGCAAGCGUUAUCCGGAUUCAUUGGGUUUAAAGGGAGCGUAGGUGGCCUUUAUAAGUCAGUGGUGAAAUCUCUCAGCUUAACUGAGAAAUUGCCAUUGAUACUGUAGGGCUUGAGUACAGAUGCCGUUGGCGGAAUAUGACAUGUAGUGGUGAAAUACAUAGAGAUGUCAUAGAACACCGAUUGCGAAGGCAGCUGACGAAACUGUAACUGACACUGAGGCUCGAAAGUGCGGGGGAUCAAAACAGG